rnacentral:pre_miRNA from 1 species
AAUAAACGAAUUUCUGUGUUUAUUUUAGAAUUUUUGACUCUUCGUCUUAUUUAAAAUUUUUUUAUGAUUAAUAUUUUUAUUGUUACUACACGAUAAAACAUGAAUAGUAUUUUACGUGUGACUAAUUUUUUUUAAUUUUUUAAUAAAUUUUUAAAUAAUACAGAUGGUCAAACGCUCGACCUGAAAAAUCCAGAAAUCCACUUUUU